UGGAAUGGGUAAUGACUUAAAUCUAUAUGGCCCCUGGAUUGGACUGCGGCCGAUCAGGCUGUUGGUGAGGUAAUGGCCCACCAAACCUGUAACCGGUACGGGCUCUGAGAGGAGGAGCCCGGAGAUGGGCACUGAGACAAGGGCCCAGGCCCUAUGGGGCGCAGCAGGCGCGAAACCUCUGCAAUAGGCGAAAGCUUGACAGGGUUACUCUGAGUGAUUUCCGUUAAGGAGAUCUUUUGGCACCUCUAAAAAUGGUGCAGAAUAAGGGGUGGGCAAGUCUGGCGUCAGCCGCCGCGGUAAUACCAGCACCCCGAGUGGUCGGGACGUUUAUUGGGCCUAAAGCAUCCGUAGCCGGUUCUACAAGUCUUCCGUUAAAUCCACCUGCUUAACAGAUGGGCUGCGGAAGAUACUAUAGAGCUAGGAGGCGGGAGAGGCAAGCGGUACUCGAUGGGUAGGGGUAAAAUCCGUUGAUCCAUUGAAGACCACCAGUGGCGAAGGCGGCUUGCCAGAACGCGCUCGACGGUGAGGGAUGAAAGCUGGGGGAGCAAACCGGAUUAGAUACCCGGGUAGUCCCAGCUGUAAACGAUGCAGACUCGGUGAUGAGUUGGCUUAUUGCUAACUCAGUGCCGCAGGGAAGCCGUUAAGUUUGCCGCCUGGGGAGUACGGUCGCAAGACUGAAACUUAA
rnacentral:rRNA from 2 species